UCUCUCUCUCUCUCUCUCUCUCACACACACACACACAGAGAGAGAGAGAGAGAGAGAGAGAGAGAGAGAAAGAGAGAGA